rnacentral:rRNA from 1 species
GGUGCGAAAGCGUGGGUAGCGAACAGGAUUAGAUACCCUGGUAGUCCACGCCGUAAACGAUGACAACUAGCUGUUGGGAGACAAGAUCUCUCAGUGGCGCAGCUAACGCUUUAAGUUGUCCGCCUGGGGAGUACGGCCGCAAGGUUAAAACUCAAAUGAAUUGACGGGGACCCGCACAAGCGGUGGAGCAUGUGGUUUAAUUCGAUGCAACGCGAAAAACCUUACCUACUCUUGACAUACUUGGAAGCUCUUGUAAUGAGAGUGUGCUUUUAGAGCCAAGAUACAGGUGCUGCAUGGCUGUCGUCAGCUCGUGUCGUGAGAUGUUGGGUUAAGUCCCAUAACGAGCGGAACCCUUACCCUUAUUUGCCAGCGGUUCGGCCGGGAACUAUAAGGGGACUGCCGGUGACAAACCGGAGGAAGGUGAGGACGACGUCAAGUCAUCAUGGCCCUUACGAGUAGGGCUACACACGUGCUACAAUGGGGAAUACAGACGGACGCUAAAGCGUGAGCUGGUGCCAAUCCUAAAAAAUUUCUCGUAGUCCGGAUUGCAGUCUGCAACUCGACUGCAUGAAGUCGGAAUCGCUAGUAAUCGCGAAUCAGCAUGUCGCGGUGAAUACGUUCUCGGGUCUUGUACACACCGCCCGUCACACCAUGGAAGUGUGUUGCACCAGAAGUAGGUAGUCUAACCUUCGGGGAGGCGCUUACCACGGUGUGAUCCAUGACUGGGGUGAAGUCGUAACAAGGUA